UUUCCUAUAUUGUUUCCCCCGUCUUCUGUCUAUAUCUAAAAAUCCAAGUUAAUAACAAGCUGACACCGUUGUGGCUUAGAUCAUUUAAUUAAUUACUGAGAAGUGAAUAUGUGCACGGAACAUUUCUAAUGCUAUUUAUUUAUUCUCAACACAACAUCAGUUGUUUUGAGCACACUGUUCAUUGAUCAUCAGUGUCAUAAAGCAACUGCAUUGGGAACACUUAACACUCGCUCCUAAAUAUAAUCUUGUGCCACUUUGACUUUUAAUGAUAAAAUAGCAAAGACCGCUUUGAGUAGAUUGAUCUUCAUUUCUGAUCCAUCACCUGAUAAGCUCACCUUGACAAAGUGCCUCGAAUUAGACAAUAACGAGCCUCACUCUUAUGUGAUGUCACUUACAGGGAGUUUGAAAAAAAAUUCCCUCACCAAAGACAUAACAAGGAAAGAUGCGGAAAAAGCAGUGCCAAAAUGGCUGAUUGGUGUCAGGGACAGGGGAUGCAACCGUGCCAUGAGAGCACAUGGAGGAGAGCAAAACCGCACUUUUCUGUGAGUGUCCAUGCACCGUCCAAUAACGGUGCGCGCUGGCAGUAGCACAUACACAAUGAAUGGGUUCGUCGGCGGAGGUCGACGGAAAACCAAAAGACACUUAAACUGCUGAGUGACUAAACUGCUAUCCCUACAGACACCUCGACUUCAUUUCCCUCCAGGGACGCUGGAAGGUGUUUUUUUAGUGGGGGUCGUGCUAUCUACACCCCACUUCCCUUGUCCCUGUCUCCCUCCCAUAUUUGUCUGUUUAUAUUUGUUCAAUAUGUUUUAACUUCGUUCUUGAUGGUUUAUGUUCUGAAAAAAUGUAA